UACGUAGGAGGCAAGCGUUGUCCGGAAUUACUGGGCGUAAAGUGCGUGUAGGUGGUGGGACAAGUCUGCUGUGAAAGCGCCUGGCUUAACCGGGCGAGGUCGGCGGAAACUGUCCGACUCGAGGACGGUAGAGGGGGGUGGAAUUCCCGGUGUAGUGGUGAAAUGCGUAGAGAUCGGGAGGAACACCUGUGGCGAAGGCGGCCCCCUGGGCCGGCCCUGACACUGAGACGCGAAGGCGUGGGGAGCGAACGGG
rnacentral:rRNA from 1 species